rnacentral:rRNA from 1 species
UACGUAGGGUGCAAGCGUUGUCCGGAAUUAUUGGGCGUAAAGGGCUCGUAGGCGGUUUGUCGCGUCGGGAGUGAAAACACGGGGCUUAACCCCGUGCCUGCUUCCGAUACGGGCAGACUAGAGGUAUGCAGGGGAGAACGGAAUUCCUGGUGUAGCGGUGAAAUGCGCAGAUAUCAGGAGGAACACCGGUGGCGAAGGCGGUUCUCUGGGCAUUACCUGACGCUGAGGAGCGAAAGUGUGGGGAGCAAACAGG